rnacentral:rRNA from 1 species
UACAGAGGGUGCGAGCGUUGUCCGGAAUCACUGGGCGUAAAGGGCGCGUAGGCGGCCCGAUAAGUAGGGGGUGAAAUCUUGCGGCUCAACCGCAAGGCUGCCUUCUAAACUGUCGGGCUGGAGCACGGUAGAGGCAGAUGGAAUUCCCGGUGUAGCGGUGGAAUGCGUAGAGAUCGGGAAGAACACCAGUGGCGAAGGCGGUCUGCUGGGCCGUUGCUGACGCUGAGGCGCGACAGCGUGGGGAGCAAACAGGAUUAGAAACCCCCGUAGUCC